AACGAACGCUGGCGGCAGGCUUAACACAUGCAAGUCGAACGGGUGCAGCAAUGCAUCAGUGGCAGACGGGUGAGUAACACGUGGGAACCUUCCUAGGGGUACGGAACAACUCAGGGAAACUUGAGCUAAUACCGAAUACGUCCGUGAGGAGAAAGAUUUAUCGCCCUUAGACGGGCCCGCGUCGGAUUAGCUAGUUGGUGGGGUAACGGCCUACCAAGGCGACGAUCCGUAGCUGAUCUUAGAGGAUGAUCAGCCACACUGGGUCUGAGACACGGCCCAGACUCCUACGGGAGGCAGCAGUGGGGAAUCUUGGACAAUGGGCGCAAGCCUGAUCCAGCCAUGCCGCGUGAGUGAAGAAGGUCUUCGGAUUGUAAAGCUCUUUUGCCAGGGACGAUAAUGACGGUACCUGGAGAAUAAGCCCCGGCAAACUUCGUGCCAGCCGCCGCCGUAA
rnacentral:rRNA from 1 species